GAAGGUGUGCUGUGAGGCAUGCUGGAGGUAUCAGAAGUGCGAAUGCUGACAUAAGUAACGAUAAAGCGGGUGAAAAGCCCGCUCGCCGGAAGACCAAGGGUUCCUGUCCAACGUUAAUCGGGGCAGGGUGAGUCGACCCCUAAGGCGAGGCCGAAAGGCGUAGUCGAUGGGAAACAGGUUAAUAUUCCUGUACUUGGUGUUACUGCGAAGGGGGGACGGAGAAGGCUAUGUUGGCCGGGCGACGGUUGUCCCGGUUUAAGCGUGUAGGCUGGUUUUCCAGGCAAAUCCGGAAAAUCAAGGCUGAGGCGUGAUGACGAGGCACUACGGUGCUGAAGCAACAAAUGCCCUGCUUCCAGGAAAAGCCUCUAAGCAUCAGGUAACAUCAAAUCGUACCCCAAACCGACACAGGUGGUCAGGUAGAGAAUACCAAGGCGCUUGAGAGAACUCGGGUGAAGGAACUAGGCAAAAUGGUGCCGUAACUUCGGGAGAAGGC
rnacentral:rRNA from 1 species